rnacentral:rRNA from 1 species
AUUGAACGCUGGCGGAAUGCUUUACACAUGCAAGUCGAACGGCAGCACGGACUUCGGUCUGGUGGCGAGUGGCGAACGGGUGAGUAAUGUAUCGGGACGUGCCCAGUCGUGGGGGAUAACGUAGUGAAAAUUACGCUAAUACCGCAUACGAUCUAUAGAUGAAAGCGGGGGAUCGCAAGACCUCGCGCGAUUGGAGCGGCCGAUAUCAGAUUAGGUAGUUGGUGGGGUAAAGGCCCACCAAGCCAACGAUCUGUAGCUGGUCUGAGAGGACGACCAGCCACACUGGAACUGAGACACGGUCCAGACUCCUACGGGAGGCAGCAGUGGGGAAUUUUGGACAAUGGGCGAAAGCCUGAUCCAGCCAUUCCGCGUGCAGGAUGAAGGCCCUCGGGUUGUAAACUGCUUUUGUACAGAACGAAAGGGUUUCUACUAAUACUAGGAGCUCAUGACGGUACUGUAAGAAUAAGCACCGGCUAACUACGUGCCAGCAGCCGCGGUAA